rnacentral:lncRNA from 1 species
CCCUAGACAGGGAUUGGGAGACAUGCAAGUUGCUUGGCUUCCUAUUACCUUGUGUUGAAAACACAAUAGGCUUUGGGAUCAGGAGUUCAUUCCAGUUAUUUUAAUGUUAUUUACUAGCAGUGUGCCCUCGUGCACAUUAUCAAACUCCUCUGACUCUUGGAAUCCUCAUUUUUCAAUAAUAACUCACAAAGCUGUCAAGCCUAAGGGUUCUAACAGCUCGAACAGCACCUGGAACAGAAGCAAUAGCCGCCACUCAGAGGUUACUUCUUCCUUCUCCGCCUUCUCUGGAUCACCUCCCUACCUCAUCCUCAAUCUAACGCUGGAAAUAUUGGAUAUGGGUUGAUUGGAGCUCUUCCAGGGCUUCCUUCCUGGGCCAUGGACCCCUCUGAGGCCAUUCGCCUCUGUUCCAGUUUGGCUCUCCUGGACCCCUCUGGAUGGCUAGGUUGUUCCUCCUCAGUCUGCAUUGAUUGGAGCUGGGACCGAAGCCCCCAUUCCAGAAACCGGACCAGGAGAUAGGCAAACAAGAAGAAGCCACCCAAUGUGAGAAAGAAAUAAGCAACGGGGGUGAUGUCCGUCUUUAUGCCCAGCAAAGCCAGCCCCAGUAGGAAGGAGGCGCAGCACAGGAGGAGAAGCGGCUUCUCCAGUCUCCCCGGUUCUUCAAUCUCAAAUAAAUCAUCUGUAGAGUCCCCUCCAGUUCCGAAAUUCUCUCUAUGUCUUGGAGUGUGUGGAAUAGCCAGGAAACCAGCCCAGGAGCUUUGACUCCCAGCCAUUCCGGGACGCUUUCUCCAGCAUCUCUGGAUGCUCCAAGUUCACGGCGGCACCUUAAGCAAAAAGGAAGUUAGCCACACAUGGUGGCUCAUGACUGUAGUCUCAGCUACAUGGGAGGCAAGGCGAGAGGAUCUCUUGAGCCCAGGAGUUCGAGGCCAGCCUAGGCAAUGUAGUAAGACCCUGUUCUUAAAUUUUUUUAAAAAGCA